AAUUUAAAGCAACUUCAAAGGGAAGAAGGCUGAGAAAGGAAGAAGAAGAAGUUCAAGAAGUAUUUGUUGAAGAAGACAAGGAGUUUGCAAGAUCAACUUCUCUAUAGUUCACUAAACACAUCUCUGGCUUUUAAUUGAUUCUGAGCUACACAAAUAGAAUUAAGAGGGCAGAUUGUUUUCACGCGAAAUCAGAAGACCUCUAUUUUUUUAGUAUUUCAGGGUGUACUGGUGGAGUUAGGAUCUUUAUUUGGGAAAAGUUAAAGGGACCGUGGUGUACGCGAUUGUUGGAGUGGUUCUGGUUCGAGGAGUAUCUGAGAUUAUACACAAGGAAUCAGAAUUUCAUGUCUUCAGGCCAAGAGGAAAUAGAUCAGAUUUACACAUCGGAAAACUAGUCUUAGACUGUAAAGAUCGAGAACUCGGUGCCUGAUAGACUGUCUUAGUCUGCUGAAGCUUCGAUAUCGAUUACCAGUACGUGGUUAGAGUUGUGCAUAGAGUCUGUUGUGUUAUGAUGUAUAUAUCUUUGUAUGAUGUAGAUACUCCAUAGUUUGUGUAAGCUUUAGGAGCUGCGGUUGUAUAAACCUUUGUUGGUUAUGUUUUAGUUAAGGUGUCUCCAGGUUUACUCAUGAAA